UUCGCAAUGCCCGAAAGGGUGACGAAGCGACGCCGCGUGGAUGAAGAAGGCCUUCGGGUUGUAAAAUCCUGUCAGGAGUUAAGAAAUGUAAGUUUGAGAAUAUCAAAUUUAUUUGACAAAAGCUCCAGAGGAAGCCACGGCUAACUCUGUGCCAGCAGCCGCGGUAAUACAGAGGUGGCAAGCGUUGUUCGGAAUUAUUGGGCGUAAAGAGCACGUAGGUGGAUUUGUUAGUCAGAUGUGAAAGCCUUUCGUUCAACGGAAGAAUUGCAUCUGAAACUACAAACCUUGAGUAUAGGAGGGGAGAGUGGAACUUCUGGUGGAGCGGUGAAAUGCGUAGAUAUCAGAAGGAACGCCGGCGGCGAAAGCGACUCUCUGGCCUAUAACUGACACUGAGUGUGCGAAAGCUAGGGGAGCAAACGGGAUUAGAUACCCCGGUAGUCCUAGCCGUAAACGAUGGGCACUAAGUAGAGGGGUUUU
rnacentral:rRNA from 1 species